rnacentral:piRNA from 1 species
AUCUCUCCCUUUUCUCUUGUGUUGAAUAUUGUCUGUAAUUCCACGGCGAAUCUGUACAGGGCAAGACGCCCUAAUAAAGUUGUUUUGUUGUUGUUUGUUGUAUUUGUUCAUCAAUUAUUUCUCUCUCGCUCUCUCUGCUGAACUAACCCUGUAAGGCUUGUGUUUGAUUGGGUUAUUAUUCUUUAUAUUUAUUUUAUACUCUCUCAAAUUGGUUAUACUUAAUUUUGAAGAGAAUAAGUCUGAAUAGUUUGACAAAAGUUAUUUUAGUUCGCUUUGUUCUUUAAUUGGUGAAUCUUGGUUGACCUGGGUUUGAUUUUUUUUGUAUUUUCGUCUGAGUCAUAUAUGGAAUUGAUUGAUAAGGUUGAACUGCAAAACUCCUGUGUUUUAUUUGCCAUUAUCUUAAUUGGACGUGAAUAAGUAUUUGUUAUCCAAGCAUGAGAUUGCUUGUUUUCCACAUUGAUUAAGCACCUAGCUAUUCUAAGACUAUUGGUUUGAAUCAGUUUAUUAUUUUGUUCAAUAAAAUAUUCGUCUUUUCAUUUGCCUCAAUUCCUACUUUGACUAGUUUGGCUGAAAGCCCAGGAAUAAUAGCAUCUUCAAAAUUUCAUACUUGUAUGUACUUUAUUUCUGAAUUUUUGGAUUCAUAAUUUAUUUCAUAUUUUAUUUGUUCGUUUUUGCAAUUAAUAUUUGCUUUAAUUCUUUUCAACAGGUCUCUUCCCAGGAUAAGCGUUUUGAAGUUAGAUUUCAUUAUAACAAACGUAUGAGAAAAGGCUUCGUCAUCAAUUUCUAUAUUUCUGAUCAUAUCAAGAAUUUACCAUUUGGACCAGCGCAAAUGCUAUUGAAUUUAUCGAUUUUGGCACUAAUAAUUUCUUCAGUAAUAAUGUCAACCACUCACAAGUCUGCACCUGUGUCCUCCGAAGCAUUGCAAAAUCCGAAGUCUUUCACAUACGCUUGGUAUUUAGGAUCUAAUUUUUAAAUAUUAUUGAAGGUCGACUUGCUUUGGCUUCUCGAAUCAGACGCAUCGUUUGAUUUAAAUAUUCUAGAACUGCAUAUCGGUUAUGCGUAGAUAUGCUAGGUUCUGCACAAAUAUCGGCAUAGGUCUUAGGAUUGGGAACUUGUUCUGGAUUUAUAUGUUUCCGUUACUAUCAUCGAUCCUAGAGAUUAAGGGCUGGUUUUCUUGUUUGUGAGGGGUGUGUAUCAUUCUAAAAUAUUUUGUUCGACAGUACCUAGCAAUGUAUCCUGGCCUUUUGCAUUUGAAGCAUAUUGGUCUUCCAUCCUCAGUUCUAGUCUCUUGUGAUUUUCUAUCCGUGUUUGUUUUAUAAUUUUGUAAGUGGUAAAUUGUUUUUGUGGAGUAUUAUGGGGAGAUUUAUUAAUAAUUGUUAUGGAAAAUUGGCGUACCUUGAAAUUGUCUUGACUGGAAAUCUUGCUUUCUUGGUUGAAAGUCUUGUUAAAGUCUUUUUAUUUAUAUAUAUGUUUUUAAAAAUCUAUUCAGUAGAGAGAGUGGAUAUGUUUGCUCGAAAAAUAUAUUUUAUCCCUAUAUAUAUAAAAGUCAGUGUAUGUAUGUAUGUAUGUGUGUUUGUUCCUAUGUCGGCUAUACACGUCCACAAUACGUAACUAAUCUGACUGAAAUUUUAACAGUAUGUGAAGUAGAAUCUGGAAAAACUUAUAGUGAAAAUUUCAGGUCUCUAUCCCGAAUAUUCUUUGAGUUAUUUGCAAAUUGCGUUGCAAAUUUGCCCUUUCGCUCGCAAGCAGCGCCUCUAACGGUGAAGAUGGGAAAUAAUAUCAGCAGACCUAAUGUACAUGUAAAACGUGUUUUAACAGGACAUAGAGAAAAAUCUGGAAGAGAUAUUUAACGGAUUUUUAGCCAAGAAAAUUUGAAAUUUACAGGUUCUGGGCAAAAAUAGUUGUUUUUAGUCAGAAAAUGAUGACGACAAUAUUGCUGUAUCAUGUUUGAUUAUCAGAUGUAAAAUUAUAUCGGGAAAAAUUCCAAAAAGCAGAGACCACGGGUGAAGCCAGUUCAUUUUUAGUAUGUGUGUGCAGGAACAAUAUUCUAACAGAAAAAUUUUCAUUCAAGCAGAAGACUCAAAUCCAGAUCAUCUCUCUAUAAAAAUAUCGCUUCUCAGACACAAAGUUUGGAGCGGGACGUUUCACAAGAAUGACAUCCACGGAAUAAAAACAUUUAAUCGGGUAAAACCCGGACGUUGCCGGGUCAUUCGGCUAGUAUAUUAUAAAAAUAUAUAAUGUAACGAAUAUUAUUAUCAUAAUUGUUGUUUAUGUUGUUAUUUGUGCCUCUUUGAUCACGCAGACUGCAACUGAACUAAGUUCUUUAUUUAUUAACUUAUCUUUUUAUAACAUGGUUAUGUGAUAUAUGGGAAAAGGAUCCUGAGAAUCUUAUCGACUCUCUAUAAUAUAAAAAAAUGCUUGUCGACUUCACGGUGAUAAAGUGCUUUGUCCUGAGAAUCCUCGGGAGUGGAUGGGAUUUUGUAUGUUUGGGCAGUCGUUAUCAAUGGCGGUGGAUGAAAAAAUCGGCACACUAUAUCGAUUAAUGAAUCACAAAACACCUCGGAAUAUUAAUCAUUGGCGGCUCGGGAGAGGAGAUGGAAGGAUUUUCACGAUUAAAUUGGAUUGAGAUGACUCACAUCUUGGACCUCGAGGCACUACUUUUAGAAGAUGCACACACACGUCUUGACACACACGUUACCGACCGAACUCUGGUUGCCCCGCCCCCCGGCUUGAGUCAUGUGGGACCCUGCUUGACCUUUGAUUGGUCCCUGUCUCUGUCGGCCAUGAUGGUAAAUUUGGUCGGGAAGAAGCUUUGCCUAACAUCCCAAUCUCUCAGGACAUUCAACUCUGGAAUAUGAGGGCCUCUUUGUUCUAAGUGACCUAGAUACACGACUUGGAUCUGUCGUUCUUUUCUCUUCUACUUCUUCCAUCUCCACGUCCUUUGACUGCCAUCUUUAUUUGAAUCCAUACAGAAUACAUUAUAUCCAACAUGGUACAUAAUUAUUUAUUAGACAAUAUUCUUUAUAAUAUUACAGAUGCGCCCCCUAUGAAUAAGAAUUUUAAAAGGGAUCUGUAUUAAAUUCUGAAAAAGAAAAAUAAUUUUUUGGGAAAGAAAAAAAAAAUAAUUUUUUUUUAAAAUAGUGAGUGGUUAGAUACAAUUGGGGAGAAAGUAAAUGAUGGAAAUAAGUAAUAAAAAGAAAUUUGAGUAGAUAGGGGUGCUUGCUAAACUAGGAAAAAAUAUGAUAAUUUUUUGGAGGAAAAAAAAAAAUCUUGCCUGCAUAGGUGUUCAAUCUUGCUGUGUGGAAACCCACAGCAAGGGAAACUCUAUGAGGUGCAAUCCAAACAAAACAUAUAAGACAUUAACAGAAAUAAAAAGAAAACUAUAGACAAUAAAAUUUGGUGAUGGAGGGAAAAAAAAAAAAAGAAAAAAGAAAUCUGAUUAGCCUUUGGGGCGGUGAAAAAAAUAUAAACAAAACAUAAAAAAAAGAAAUCAAAGCUCCUGUAUGAUAAACUGAAGGCUGAUACAUGAGAAGUAUUGCGUCAGGUCAGUUGUUCAUUCAGUUAGGACAAAACAAGGUUUAAACAAUAAAAGGAAAAAAUAAACUUGAGGUGAUUAAGAAAUUGAAAGGGUGAUAGACAUGGAUGGUGGGAAUAAAAAAAAUAAAAAAAAAUAAAAAAAAAUAAAAGUGCUGGUUGUGUACAAGUCUUUUAAAAUUGGUUAACAAAAAUAUACACAAAAGAAGAAUAUUUUUUUACAUAACAAUGUCCAAUCUUUGUUUAUUAUAGGGUCGUAGGUCAUAAGGUUGCCAAAACUAUAUAGGUGCGUGAAUGUAUGCGAGUGUGUGUGAGUGUAUGUUCCAGAAAGUAACUUUAAGUGUGGUGACACGCGAAAAGUGACGGCGGGUUUGUUUACAUUCCGCAGGGAGGAUGUGACGUCGGUCACGUGAUCGGAAAGGACGUGACGUCGGCGCGGCGGAAGGUUUCUGUAAAGUGGACGCCAGCUGACAGCGGGGUGAUCGACGAGUGUUUGUAAAGGUGGGGAGAUUGCUAUUCGACUUGGCACGCUCUAAAGAGGGUUUGGAAAAUCUCUCCUAUGAUUUCACCUAUUAGAGCGACCAAGGCAUGACUGUGGACAAGGAUGGUCCAUAACUCCGGGAGAAUUAUUCCUAUGGUUCGAUGGAUUAGUUCCACUACGGCGAUGGUUAUUUCGAAUAGGGCUUCCUGUAGUUGGAAGAGACGGUUGGGCUGCAGUGUAUAGACACUGACAUACAGUAGGGUGGCCAUGGGUAAUAGUACAGUGGGUAGUAUGAAAAGGUUGAUGAGGUAUAGGAGGUGGAACAAGGGGAAGGUUUUCACGUUACGAAAAAACCUUGCCUGUAAGGGAAUUGGUUUGGGAUCAGCCCUAACUGUAGGGAUUGGGGUUUUAACUUUGGUUAUAUGGGUUGGACGGGAUAUUGCAGGUUGGGGAAUAUCGCGUUGGGCGAUAAUGUUACAUUGUGGGUCAACAGGGGUGGUAGUGGUACAAUUGCCUAUUGUAGGAGCAAAGCGCUCAACUGUAAAGAGGUCUGGGGUGAGGUGCUCGAACAGUGGUGGUAGCGUCCUAGAUUGGGGUUUAGCAGGGUGUGGUAUCAGAGUGGGAGGUGCGAUAUAACGAAUAUUUUCGUUAUAGUACUGUAAUUUAUUUACAUGGACUGUGUCGGUAUUCCGAUUUAGAGGUUGGUUGGGUCGGUUUAUUCUCACCACGUUGGGAGAGAUGAUCUCUAAGAUCUCGUAGGGACCCGUGAAAUACGGAGCCAGUUUGCCUGUAUUGGGGUGAUGGUAAACUUUUACCAACACGAGAUCUCCGGGUUCAAAAUGGGGUGUCUUAUGUUGUUGGUCGUAGGCAUGUUUGUCUUUGAGGUGCUUGGCCUGGGUACGUUCAUGGGCUAUCCGUCGGGCUGUGGUUAAAACGGGGUAGGGGUUUACAUGCUCAGUGAGCUCGGGAGGUAGAACGCCGAACAUCAGGUAGCCAGGUGGGAACCCGGUAACUGAGUGGGGCGUGUUGUUAUACACCACAGUAACGCGCUUCGCCAGCUUAGUCCAUGCGGCUUUGGGGUUUUCCAAAUGGAGUAACCUUAGUUUGCCUGUUAAGGUAGCGUUCAGGCGCUCGCAUAGACCAUUAGCUUGGGGGUUGUUACUGGUGGUGAGCAGGGGAUGGAUGUUCCUGUUAAUCAGGAACUUCCUGAACUUUGGUGAGGUGAACGCAGGCGCUCUAUCCGUGAGUAGGCGUUUCGGAGAGCCGUCCUGCAACACUCGCUUUAUCACCUGUUGAUAGGUGGUGAUGCUGGUAGAUUUUGAGGGGAAGGUCCACGUGUAGCGCGAAAAGUGAUCCACCACAACGUGGAGGUAAGCUUUGGCGUUACCAUAUUUGGCAAGUCCAGCUAUGGUGUCGAGGGCGACCAGAUCAAAAGGCUGAGUGGCCACAGGAAGUUGUCCUAGUUCCCCAAACGUGGGACCUCGAGGGGGUUUUGUUGACUGACAGAUGGCGCAGGCUUUGGUGGUUUUGGAGAUGUCUUCUGACAUCCCCUUCCAGUAGUACUGGGGAGAGAUGAGCCUGGUCAUCUGGGAUAUGCCCGGGUGGUUGUACCGACUGUGCACCUUUGUUAGUAGGUCGGGAACGAGGGCGUCAGGGACGACAAUUUUGGUUACACCUCUACGCUUUAGGGUUUGCAGUCCGUUUCGAUCAAUGGUCAGUUUAGAUUCUCCCGAAGGAGUGAGUUGGUGGUUCUUAAUGAUGGUGGCGUCUAAGAAUCCACAAAACGGGUUACGGGAUAGGAGGUCCGCUUCAUGUUGUAGUGAUCCUUUUAUGUAGCGGACUUCGUAUUCGUAACACGAUAACCUCAAACUCCAUCGGAAUAAUCUGCCUGACGGGUUUUUGAUCGUCUUCAGCCACUGCAGUGCGUGAUGGUCAGAAAAUAUGGUGAAUUUUCUGCCCAUUAGAUACACACGGAACUUCUCCACGCUCUCGACAAUGGCGAGGCAUUCUAGUUCGGAGAUGGUGUAGUUCCGCUCGUGUACACGCAGAGCGCGGCUGAAAUAUUGGACUGGGUAGGCCUUCCCAGCGGAGUGGACUUGUUUGAGGACGCCUGCAAUGCCAAGUGUUGAUGCAUCGCAAUAUACCUGGCAUGGUAGUUCAUCCUUGUAGAGGUGCAAUACGGGGUGUUGUGUGAGGCUUUCCUUCAGGCUGGUGAACGCCUUUUGGCAUUUGUCAUCCCAGUCCCACGUCACAUCCUUCUUGAGAAGGUUGUUGAGUGGGGUCCGCAAACGGGCAUAGUCCGGGAUGAACUUAUUAUAGACGUUCACGGCGCCUAAGAAGGAUUGCAGCGUUUUGCGAUUGUUCGGGGGUGGGAUAGCGUGGAUUACGUCGGUAUUGCGGAUAAGUGGGGUGGUGGUACCAGCGGUGAUUGUGUACCCCAGAAAUUCGAUGGUCUGCCUAAAAAACUCGCAUUUGGUGAGGUUGAGUUGCAAGUUCUCCGCGUCGCAGAACGCGAAAAACCUGCGCAGGUGUUCUUGGUGUUCCUCCAGUGUCUCCGAAUAUAUGACAAAGUCGUCAAAAUAGUGCGCCACACAAUCAAGUCCGUGCCCCUGCAGGACCUGAUUGAUUGCCCUUUCAUAGAUCUGUGGACUGGUCUUAAGUCCGAAAGGCAAUCGGGUGGGCUGAUACAACCCGUCUAUCGUGGCGAAGGCCAACAGUGGUCGAGAAUCAGGGUGUAUCGGCACUUGCCAAUAUGCGGAGGAGACGUCGGCAGUCGAGAAAUACUUGGCCCGCGCGAGACGGUCCAGUAUAUCUUCGAUCCUCGGGAGUGGAUGGACAUCGGAGCUUAUGACCUCGUUCACCUUCCUAUAGUCGAUACAAAACCUUUUGGUCUUGUCUCGCUUGGUCACUAGGGUGACCGGGCUAGAGAAAGGGGAGUAGGACGGCUCAAUGAUGUCAUUAUCCAACAUCUGUCGGAUCUGACUGCGUAUUUCCCGUUGAUCGCAUAUCGGUACCCUAUAUGGGCGGAUGGUGACGACUUUGUCGGAGUUGGUGGCGAUUCUUACUGGGGGAACCUUUAGGCAUGGGACCGCGAAUUUGUUCCGGGAGAACACGUGUUGGUAUUGGCGCAAUAGCGCCGGAAAUUGAGGUGGAUACGGUGGCUGCGGUUGAUUGUCUAUGGGGAUCCCUGGGAGGUGUUCUGGUGCUAAUGGGUGGUGUGUGUGGUACAUGGAAUGGUGUGUGGAAUGGGGAUGUUUGGGUGUAUGGUGAAGGUGGUCCGUUUGGACCUUGGUGGGGUGUGAGAGGUUGGCAUUGGGUGGUUGUUCUGGUACCUUGACCCUAUAAUAAGAGCAGUUGGCUCUAAAAAGGUUCUUUGAUUGGACAUGGUGCGGUGGUUGGGUGAGUCCCUGGGUUGUGGACGUGUUGUCCGAAAAAUGCGCAUAUUGGGUAUUGUUGGCGGAAGGCGGAAAAAUAGUGUGGGCCUUGCAUAGGUCCGCCUGGCAUUCCCAAUAUGUGCACCUUUCGGGCAACACAGCAAAGUGGUAGGUCAGGGGCGACAAAGGUGCGUCGAGUUGGUACAUAGUGCCAUGUGCAAAAUCGAUUUUUAAUUUGAAUUUACGGAGGGUAUUAAUACCAAGUAUUCCAAAUGGUAGAGGGGCGUCCACCACGUGGAAUACUUCGUUUUGGGUCAUGGCAUGAAUGGACAGGGGGAAGGUAAUCUGGCCUAUUGUUGGCACGUGGCCAUCUAUUGUCUGUAAAUUUACUAUUUUUUUAGUUAUUAAAUUUAGGUCAGGGAAAUUAUUCUUUAAAUUUUUAUAUAUGGCACAUGACACUAGGUUAACGGACGCACCCGUGUCUAUCAGGAAUGGUAGGGACAGUCCAUGGGAGAUUGGCAGACUAAUUGUCAGGUUGACGAAAGGCCUGGUCAGUAGGCCUACCUGUUGGCUGCUGGUCUGGGGCUCCCUUGGUUAUCCCAGUGGCUUGUGCGCGUGACGCUUGGUGAUGGGGCUGGGCUCGCGGCCGUUGUUCCGCUAGUUGCGCGGAGCGCGCUGCUCGUGCGUCUCCGGAGGCACGGGGCAACUGCGGGGCUUGUCUGAGACGACACUCAGAGUGCCAGUGUAGUCCACCACAAAAACGGCAGUCUGUUGGCGGGGUCGACCUGGUUGGCACUGUUCUUGGACUAGGUCGCACCGGUGCGUAGGGGCCCAGUAGGGGUGGUGCGUGCUCGUCUGGGUGCCUUGGAGAUGGUGCGCCGCUGCCGCGGAUCCGCUGCACCAGCCGGAACCAUGCACCUAGGUUCUCUGGCGGCACAAUGCGGACGAGGCGCUGGUCGGAGGGUGGCAGCCCCUCGGUGAGCGUCUCCAAGAUGACCUCUUGUGGGAGGCCCAGUUGUAGACCCAGCGCGGUCUUAUUCCGAUAGUAUUCUUCCAGGUUGGGCUGUCCGGCCAGCUUCAUGGAGAAGUAUUGGGCAUACGUGGCCUCAUUGGUCUCCGGAUAGAGAUCCAGGAAGGUCUGUCUCACCUGGAUGUAAUGUUGGGUCUCCAUCCGACGCCUCCUGAAGUGUUCUAGCGGUUUGUUGUUCAGGUAACGGGGUAGGCGGAGCACUUUUUCCGUGUUGGUGAGACCAUCCCAGUCUGUUUUCUGGUCAUAUGUCCGAAAGAACUGUGCGGCUGGGUAGGUCCCGUCGAAGCUCUGGACUUCUAUCUCCGUCCGAUGGGUCACGCGGUCGCUGGUGGUCUGAAGGGCAGAUAAACACGCCGCGAGGCGUGCCAGGACGGCCGGCAACUCUGCCGACGGAGGGGGUGGUUCUAUUUUGGGAGUACUUACGGCGGGGUUGUUUUCUCCCUCUGCGGUGUAUUCCUCCGCGUCUUGCGUUUCGUUUUUCUCGUCCAUCCUGUCGACUCUCUGUGAUAUAUGGGAAAAGGAUCCUGAGAAUCUUAUCGACUCUCUAUAAUAUAAAAAAAUGCUUGUCGACUUCACGGUGAUAAAGUGCUUUGUCCUGAGAAUCCUCGGGAGUGGAUGGGAUUUUGUAUGUUUGGGCAGUCGUUAUCAAUGGCGGUGGAUGAAAAAAUCGGCACACUAUAUCGAUUAAUGAAUCACAAAACACCUCGGAAUAUUAAUCAUUGGCGGCUCGGGAGAGGAGAUGGAAGGAUUUUCACGAUUAAAUUGGAUUGAGAUGACUCACAUCUUGGACCUCGAGGCACUACUUUUAGAAGAUGCACACACACGUCUUGACACACACGUUACCGACCGAACUCUGGUUGCCCCGCCCCCCGGCUUGAGUCAUGUGGGACCCUGCUUGACCUUUGAUUGGUCCCUGUCUCUGUCGGCCAUGAUGGUAAAUUUGGUCGGGAAGAAGCUUUGCCUAACAUCCCAAUCUCUCAGGACAUUCAACUCUGGAAUAUGAGGGCCUCUUUGUUCUAAGUGACCUAGAUACACGACUUGGAUCUGUCGUUCUUUUCUCUUCUACUUCUUCCAUCUCCACGUCCUUUGACUGCCAUCUUUAUUUGAAUCCAUACAGAAUACAUUAUAUCCAACAUGGUACAUAAUUAUUUAUUAGACAAUAUUCUUUAUAAUAUUACAGUUAUAUAUCUAAGAAUGUUUACAAGUCGAGUCUGCAGUGUUGCCGGAUCAACUUUUCAGUUCCAUCAUAACAUGUUUCCUUUGAACAAAAAUAAAAAAAAGGAUUGCAGUUCUCCUAGUCUCUAUAACGCAAAGGUUUUCUCACUGUUCUACCACUGCGGGUUCGCACACUAGGAGAAGUAGAUGAUUCUUCACCUUUCUUGGCAACGUUCUCCCUUGGAUCAUAUGCUCUUCUGUUUUCGGAAGUGGGUCUUCCAUGAUCUUGCAUGUUGUCAUCCAUGGCUGUUCCUGCUUGAGAUCCAGGAAUGCUUGGACUUUGAAUUGUUGGGGCAGAAUCUUCUACACUGAACUUUCUCGGUCUAAGGUGAGACCUGUUCCUGCGGUAUUCAGACCCACUUGGUGGUUUCACCAUAUAUGAGCGUGGAGUUUCAUGCUUUGCGGUCACUGUUGCCGGAACCCAUUUUCUAUGCCUUUCCUGCAACAUGAUGUUGUCUCCUACUUCCAAAGGUCUCAAAAUUCUCUUUGGACUUCCUGCAUACUUUUGUUGAUGGUCUCUCAAUUUUUGGUAAUUCUUUGUUGUGUCAAACAGUGGUUUCAACUGUUGUCGGGUGUAUGUCGAAAGAGUUCUCACAGAUCUUCCCAUAAGCAUUUGGGUCGGAGAUGGCAAGUCAUACUUAGGUGUGUUGUUGAACUCCAUCAAAGCCAGAUUGGGAUCUCUUCCUGACUUCACAGCUUUAAUUAUCAGUCCUUUGAUGGUUUGAAUUGUCCUCUCAACUUGUCCAUUAGAUCUUGGAUAUUUGGGACUGGAGGUUUGGUGUUUGAAUUCAUAUUUCUGAGCAAAGUUUUUGAAUCCAGUAGAGUUAAAAGGGGGUCCAUUAUCCGAAACUAGAGUUCUUGGAAUUCCAUGAGUCUUGAAAAUGGUUUUCAACUGCAUGAUGGUUUCGGUUUCUCUUUUGCUUGAUAAUUUCCGGAUUUCAACAAACUUUGAGUGGUAAUCGACAACCAAGAUGGAACUGGUUCCACUCACCUCCAUGAAAUCUACAGCAAUUUUUUCCCAUGGAAAUUCAGGGAUUUCAUGAGCUAUUCUUGACUCCUCAGGAUUCUUUCUUGAAUAUUCCUGACAUGUUCUGCUCUUUUCCACUUCAUUUUCUACUUGUGUUAUCAUGCCUGGCCAGUAAAAUGCUGAUCUUGCUUUUUCUUUGGAAGCUGCUGUGCCCUGGUGUGAUGAAUGAACAACCUGCAGGAUUUCUUUUCGAAGAGUCGAUGGCACCAUGAUGCAAUUUCCUUUGUAAACAAUUCCGUCACUCACAUGAAUUUCAUCUUGAAAUUGCCAGUAGGGUUUUGCUUCAUCACAGACCUUAGUUUAUAUUUCGGCCAUCCAUUCUUCGCAUACUCUAUUAGUUGUAUCAAGGUGUGGUUCCCAUGAGUUUCCUUUUUUGUAGUCUCUUUAUUUUUUCAUCUGUGGUAACCAGCAACAUGUGCACUGAUUCAGUUUGACCUUCUAAAUAGCUUGUGUCCACCUCAUCUUUUAAUGGAUCUCUAGACAGAUGGUCAGCUACAAACAUGUUUUUCCCUGGUGUAAACUUCAAAGAUAUUUGAAAUCUCAUGAGACGUAAGACCAUUCUUUGCAGUCUUGGGGAAAGCUUUUCUAAAGGUUUCUUAACAAUACUCAGGAGAGGUUUGUGGUCAGUUUCCACAAUAACAUCAUUUCCCCAAAUAUAGUACUGGAAGCGUUCACAUCCAAAGACUAUAGCCAAAGGUUCUUUCUCUAUCUGUGCGUAUUUUCUUUGAGUUGCAUUCAGGCUGAAGGACGCAUACUCAAUUGCAUGUCCCCCUUGCAUGAGCACUGUACCAAUACCAUAUUGGCUUGCAUCAGAUGAAAUGGUGAUUGGCUUGGUUGGGUCAAAAAAUGUCAAUAUUGGAGCAUUCGAAACCAUAUCCUUGAGUUUUUCAAAACAAUCAUUUUCUUCGCCUCCAAAUUUCCAUUCACUCUUGUUGCUUAUCAAUUUCCUUAGAGGUGCAGUCUUGUCAGAAAGAUUAGGAAUGAAUUUUCCAAGGUACGUUACCAUACCUAAGAAUCUUUGGACUUCAGUCUUGUUCUCAGGUCUUUUCAACUUUUGUAUUGCCUCUGCUCUUGAAGCUUGAAUGGCUAUUCCAUCUCGACUGAUUAUAUGGCCUAAGAAAUUUACUUUGUCGACAGCUAUCUGCUGCUUCUUGGCAUUGAGCUUGACAUUAUUUUCUUCCAACCUUCGAAGAACUGUUUCAAGGUUUCGGUUGUGCUCUUCCAUUGUGCUUCCAUAGAUCAAGAUGUCAUCCGGGGGGUCGGUGGAAGGCUGGUUAAACCGUUUGGUUUUCAUGGAUGUUUGGAUUAUCAUGGCCUGUUCCACGUAUGCUAGGGAUAAGUAAAUAUAUAUAUAUAUAUAUUUACUAUAUAUAUCAUCCAUAUAGCAAGCAGUUCCCUGGAGACCUGAAAGAAUAUUGUUUAUGCAUCGCUGGAAUACCUCCGAUGCACUGUUCAAUCCAUAGGAAAGUUGCUUGAACCGGAAUCUUCCAAAGGAAGUCGCAAUGGUGCACAGGUUGGUGCUUUCUUUGUCUAAUGGGACUUGCCAGAAAGCUGAUGAUGCAUCAAAUACAGAGAAAACUGUAGCACCUUCAGUUCAGAAAAUAUUGUUUCAGCUGUUGGCAGAAUAUAGCUCUCUCUCUGAACAUAUUAGUUCAGUUACCUGGGGUCCAUGCAAAUUCUGACAUCUCCAGAAGGUUUUUGUACCACUACAAUAGGGUGUGUCCAUUCGCUUGGUUCUUCAACUUUUUCAAUAAUGUCAAGUUUUUCCAUCCGUUCCAAUUCUGCUUUAACUUUUUCUCUAAUGGAAAAAGGAAUUUUGCUGCUUGGAGCAAUAACUGGAGUUGUAUUUUCAUUUAGUCUAUUCUUGUGUUCAAUUGGCAGUCUUCCUAUGCCUUCAAAUAUAUUUUUGUGCCUGUUCAAAAUUUCUUUUGCUGAAUUGUUCUGCUGUAUUUGGACAGCAUCACAUUUCUUAAUUAGUGAAAGCUUUUCAAUAGCUUCUAUUCCUAAAAUUGGUUGAUAGUGUCCAUCAGCAAUGAAAAAUUCUAGACUUUCCGUCUUAUUUUUAGUUUUGCAAUUUAGUGUGGCAAUUCCUUUUAUCUUGAUUUCAUGUCCUGUAUAUGAUGUUAGCUUUCGGUUAGUCUGAAAUAUUUCCAAACCUUUCAUUUGUCUGGUGAAACUGUAUGGCAAAACAUUUACUUCUGCUCCAGAGUCCAACUUGAAGCAUAUUUCCUUUCCAUUCACUAUGAUGGAUUUUUUCCAUUCCAAAGUAUGGACUACUUUUGCUUCAUGUAUUGACCAUACAGUUUCUUCUGUUUCAUCAUUCAGACUUCUGAUAGCUGAACUUUUACAGAAAGCUGCAAAAUGAUUCAUCUUUUUGCAUUUGGAGCAUCUUUUACCCCAUGCAGGACAAUUUUUUGCUCUGUGAGACUUCCCACACCUUUGGCAUUUGAAUUAUUUUUCAGAUUCUUGAUUUUGUUUUGGACUGUGUUUCUUUUCAUAUUUUCUUAUUUGACAGAUGUUCUCGUUGUUCUGCAUGAUCUUGAUCUGUUGCUUGCUUAUUUCAUCUGUUUUGCACAUUUCAAUGGCUUUUAGAAGAGUUAAAUUGGGCUCUCUUAAGAGGCGUUCCUGCAAAGCCUUGUCUUGUAUUCCAUACACAAUGCGAUCCCUAAUUAAACUAUCCUUUUGUGAUUCAAAUUCACAUGAUGUGGAUAAUCCUUUUAGUUCUGUUAUAAAACUAUCGAUGGAUUCACCAUCCUUCUGUGUCGCUGAAAAAAUUUGAAUCUUUCAAAAAUGACGUUCUUUUUAGGCUCGCAAAAAUCAUCAAAUUUGUUUAUUACAAGAUCGAAAUUUUUUGCUUCAUCUUCUUUUAAAUGAAAUGUGUUGAAAACUUCCAAGGCUUCUUCGCCAAUAAAAUUUAAUAAAAUGGCAACUUUCAGUUUAUCAGGCUUUGUGGCUUUUUCUGUUGCUUCAAGAUAAAGCAUUAAUCGCUGUUUGAACCUUCGCCAAUUUUCCGCUACAUUUCCGUGCAAGGCGAGUUCGCUAGGCCUAACAAAGUCCAUGUUUUCUUUUUUCACUAUUAUUUGUCAAUAAUAUAUUUAUUUGAAAAAGUACUCACUCUUUUCCGCUGCCACCAUGUUGUUUAUGUUGUUCUUUGUGCCUCUUUGAUCACGCAGACUGCAACUGAACUAAGUUAUUUAUUUAUUAACUUAUCUUUUUAUAACAUGGUUAUAUAUCUAAGAAUGUUUACAAGUCGAGUCUGCAGUGUUGCCGGAUCAACUUGUCAGUUCCAUCAUAACAAUAAUAUUCUUUGUGUUCCAGAAUAUUAUUAUCAAUAAUAUUCGUUAGGCAAACUUUCACUUGAAUAAAACCCGAGCCGGGUCCGCUAGUAAGUAUAUAAAGAGAGGCCUAUAGGAUGCCCUAGCCUUCCUACUGAUGACCCCAUCCUGUAUGACCUGCUACACAUUCCAUGACAUCAGGCAUGCAAUUGUCUUUUCAUCUCUCUGUUUUAAUAAUAUUUAUGAUAUCUCUCUUUAAAAAAUAAACUCAAAAUAAAUAUAUACAAUUUUGAAUAGUGAACCUUAGAAUUAAGCUCUUUUUAAAAUAAAAUAUUAUCAGAGUU